GGCUCUAUGGUGUAAUGGUCCUACACGCAUGACGCAUGUAGGCGGUGCAAGAUCCUCGUGUGGGCGGGUACUGGGUCUCCGGUUCGAUUCCGGGCGGGGUCG